GGAAACCGUAGCUCAGUGGUAGAGCAUCUGCUUUGCAUACAGAAGGUCUCAGGUUCAAGCUCCAGCAUCUCCA